GAUGAACGCUGGCGGCGUGCCUAAUACAUGCAAGUCGAGCGAACGGACGAGAAGCUUGCUUCUCUGAUGUUAGCGGCGGACGGGUGAGUAACACGUGGAUGACCUACCUAUAAGACUGGGAUAACUUCGGGAAACCGGAGCUAAUACCGGAUAAUAUUUUGAACCGCAUGGUUCAAAAGUGAAAGACGGUCUUGCUGUCACUUAUAGAUGGAUCCGCGCUGCAUUAGCUAGUUGGUAAGGUAACGGCUUACCAAGGCAACGAUGCAUAGCCGACCUGAGAGGGUGAUCGGCCACACUGGAACUGAGACACGGUCCAGACUCCUACGGGAGGCAGCAGUAGGGAAUCUUCCGCAAUGGGCGAAAGCCUGACGGAGCAACGCCGCGUGAGUGAUGAAGGUCUUCGGAUCGUAAAACUCUGUUAUUAGGGAAGAACAUAUGUGUAAGUAACUGUGCACAUCUUGACGGUACCUAAUCAGAAAGCCACGGCUAACUACGUGCCAGCAGCCGCGGUAAUACGUAGGUGGCAAGCGUUAUCCGGAAUUAUUGGGCGUAAAGCGCGCGUAGGCGGUUUUUUAAGUCUGAUGUGAAAGCCCACGGCUCAACCGUGGAGGGUCAUUGGAAACUGGAAAACUUGAGUGCAGAAGAGGAAAGUGGAAUUCCAUGUGUAGCGGUGAAAUGCGCAGAGAUAUGGAGGAACACCAGUGGCGAAGGCGACUUUCUGGUCUGUAACUGACGCUGAUGUGCGAAAGCGUGGGGAUCAAACAGGAUUAGAUACCCUGGUAGUCCACGCCGUAAACGAUGAGUGCUAAGUGUUAGGGGGUUUCCGCCCCUUAGUGCUGCAGCUAACGCAUUAAGCACUCCGCCUGGGGAGUACGACCGCAAGGUUGAAACUCAAAGGAAUUGACGGGGACCCGCACAAGCGGUGGAGCAUGUGGUUUAAUUCGAAGCAACGCGAAGAACCUUACCAAAUCUUGACAUCCUUUGACAACUCUAGAGAUAGAGCCUUCCCCUUCGGGGGACAAAGUGACAGGUGGUGCAUGGUUGUCGUCAGCUCGUGUCGUGAGAUGUUGGGUUAAGUCCCGCAACGAGCGCAACCCUUAAGCUUAGUUGCCAUCAUUAAGUUGGGCACUCUAAGUUGACUGCCGGUGACAAACCGGAGGAAGGUGGGGAUGACGUCAAAUCAUCAUGCCCCUUAUGAUUUGGGCUACACACGUGCUACAAUGGACAAUACAAAGGGCAGCGAAACCGCGAGGUCAAGCAAAUCCCAUAAAGUUGUUCUCAGUUCGGAUUGUAGUCUGCAACUCGACUACAUGAAGCUGGAAUCGCUAGUAAUCGUAGAUCAGCAUGCUACGGUGAAUACGUUCCCGGGUCU
rnacentral:rRNA from 1 species